rnacentral:rRNA from 1 species
UACGUAGGUCCCGAGCGUUGUCCGGAAUUACUGGGUGUAAAGGGUGCGCAGGCGGCCUUGUGCGUCAGAAGUGAAAUAUCACGGCUUAACCGUGAGGGUGCUUUUGAAACGGCGAGGCUUGAGUACGGGAGAGGAUGAUGGAAUUCCUGGUGUAGCAGUGAAAUGCGUAGAUAUCAGGAGGAACACCGGUGGCGAAGGCGGUCAUCUGGCCCGGUACUGACGCUGAGACGCGAAAGCGUGGGGAGCGAACAGG